rnacentral:rRNA from 1 species
AACGAACGCUGGCGGCAUGCCUAACACAUGCAAGUCGAACGAAGCCUUCGGGCUUAGUGGCGCACGGGUGCGUAACGCGUGGGAAUCUGCCCUUGGGUUCGGAAUAACAGUUAGAAAUGACUGCUAAUACCGGAUGAUGUCUUCGGACCACAGAAUUAUCGCCCAAGGAUGAGCCCGCGUAGGAUUAGGUAGUUGGUGGGGUAAUGGCCCACCAAGCCGACGAUCCUUAGCUGGUCUGAGAGGAUGAUCAGCCACACUGGGACUGAGACACGGCCCAGACUCCUACGGGAGGCAGCAGUGGGGAAUAUUGGACAAUGGGCGAAAGCCUGAUCCAGCAAUGCCGCGUGAGUGAUGAAGGCCUUAGGGUUGUAAAGCUCUUUUACCAGGGAUGAUAAUGACAGUACCUGGAGAAUAAGCUCCGGCUAACUCCGUGCCAGCCGCCGCCGUAACAC